GUGGGAGGAGGACCUCGGAGCCUCCAGCCCAACCAGUUGCCCAGGCUGUGCGCCCAGCCAUUGAAGCUCCUAAGAAGCCAGGUCCUGCUUACCCUGCUGAUUUGUGGAAAGAACACGAAAUCCCCCAUCACUGGCCUCUAGUUUGAGGAAAGAAGGGGAAACUUGAUUUAAGGGGCCUGCCGACCACAUCAACAACGCACACUAAGCUCUCGAAAGGGGAGCAGGCUUCCUGUAUCUCUAAUCCGUUAUCGACAUGUACUACUCUCGAAGUUGCCCCGAGAACUUGAUCCAUCUCUUGGUCUCCAACACCAGAGCAAGAGGUGUGGGCAGUAACUUGCAAAGGCCUUAGAAGAAGCAAGGAAUACUCACACGAACCCCCACCCAUCAGCUUGUUUCUGGAAUGCUCCAGAGAAAGAAGAGGGAGGAGCACUGCCCGACAGGACCAGUUAGGGGACAGUUCUACCAUGAUGCCAAUGAACUGCUUCUGGAGGCAGAGGCAUAUGCAGAGCUGCUUCAAGUGGUCAUGGCAUCACUGACCUGGGAGCCACUGUCCCACGAGCACUCCCUGGAGUCGUGGGAAGCAGCUGCUCCAUCUCAGUGCGACAAGCCCAGGAUCCCUGCUGGCAAAGUUGAUGAGAGGCGAAUCUCGGCCUUGCCUUCUGACUUCGCUCACAGGGCACCUGGAGACCGUCACAAAGGUGCUUAAACUCCAACAGUCACCACCACAUCCGUGUUUCCUGAAAACCCUCUUUCUUGUCCAUUUUAAAUCUGUCAUGGAUCAGGGGAGAGGUGAGAGCUGAAGGAAAUCUGGGCAUUUCCUUCACCAAAAUGAGCUGAGACAGGGGACAGGCUGAGGAUGGAUGUUGACAAAGUCGUGCACUGGACUCCCGAUGCAUGUGUGAGGAAGAAGUGGGACUGAGAAGGGGAGGGGGGAUAAAUAGCAUAUAAGUACACAUGUAAAUAAGGGUUUAUAAAGGGAAUAAAUACAUGAACAGAUAAACA
rnacentral:lncRNA from 12 species